GAAUUGUGGAAAGUAAUAUAAUGUCUUUUCUAUCAAAGGAAAUCUUGGUUACUCCAUUUUGCUCCAGUUUCAGCUGAAAUGCCUUCCUGCAAACCGCCCCCCCCUCUUUCCCAGUAACAAUUUGUUUCAAAUUAGCCAACUGAGAAGAAUGUGCACCCUGACCUGACCAAUGGGAAAGGGACAGGUACAUCACCUGUGUUAGGGAUAAAUAGGGAGGGUCUUUUCUUCUUUGCGUGCACUUUUUGAGCACCCGCACCCUUCCGCAGAAGUAAAGAGCCUUGUUGAGGUCUCCCCGUGUUCAUGUGUCCAUUUUUCAACACUGACAAUCCGAGCCAUGUCCCCAACAGGACUGAUUAGGGUACUGAUUGAUAGUGAACAUCAACUGGAAGAGAUUACAGGCGUGCUGAAGCUAUUGCAGCCCUUGGGUUCAGAAAAGUCAUAAAUGGCUUGAAUAAAGCCAUAGAGACUAUACCUAUGAAAUUCACACUUGAAGUAAAAAAACUAUGAGGGAGAACAUAAUUUGGAUAUGAAUGUAUUUGUGUGUAUACAUUCCUGUAUUUGAGCCCUACAGUAAUGACAGCAUAAGUAACAGGAAGGUAUGGAUUAGCAGCAACAUAAAGAAAUUCUUCAGGAUCUUGUAAAAAAACAACUCAUUAUGACUAUAUAGUUCAGAAACAGUAGUACACACAUGACAGAAACAGUAGUACACACACUGCUUUUUAACUUUUGGGGAAAUACUUUGCUAUCUCUUCUAAUAAACUGGAUGUAGAUCCUAAAUCAACAGGCAAUGGACACAUAAGCCUUCUCGUUUUUAUGCAAAUGAUAAAAGUUUUAUUAUGAUAAGUUAAAAUGCUUAGUCAACAGGUUGCUCUAUCCUAGAAAUAGCUCCUCAUCAAGGUUGCUACAAGGAUGCUCUCUUAUCCCAAAUUAUCACUGAAUGGAAGUUGAUGUUUUUUGCUCUUUGGCAUGAGUCUUAGUCAGGAUCCUCAGAUUUCACUCAAAGUUAUCAAUUCUAUUACCAGCUCAGCUUAACUGAAACAUAGAGUAAAGGUACCUGUCAGUACUCAUUAGUACUCAAUUACUUUCAAAACUAGAACCAAGAGAAAGAAUAUUAAUGGAAAACAACCUGAAGGUUCUGUAAACCACCCAUCACACUUGAAAAUUUUUCCCUGAAUGAAGCCUGUCAGAGAAUCAGAAAUGCAUCAUAGCCUGCCUACAGAAAGUUGCUUUUAUUGAACUAUACUUUGGAUGAAGGCAUCAAACUAUAUUAAAGACCAUUUCAAGAAACAUCCUUGUGAGAUGUAUCUUUGGCUUUACAUUAUUUCAACUGUUUUCAUUAUUACAGUUUCAUAGAAUAAUUUCUUGAAUUAAGCUUGGAAGAGAAAGAUUUUCCUAAGCAAGAAUGAUCAAAAAGGGAGAAGAGGAGAGGAAAAAGGAAGGUUCAGAGGUGAAAAAGUACAGUGUGUAUAUGUAUAUGGGAAAUGAUAGUUAUCUCAGCUCAUCUGGAGUGAGGCAUACAACUAGGACUAGAAAAUAGAGUAAAGCCAGAUUAUACCAAGCCAAAGAGUUAAUAAUACCUGAGAAUGAACAAAGAUCAUUGAUAAAAUAUGAUUUGUGUGCUUACUAUUUGAUAGUGGCACAAUAAAUAAAAUGAAUGUAAUCCUUGGCCUCUUGCAGCUUCAAAGGGAAUAGCAGAUGAAAAUGCCCUGGAGCAGUAAGGGAUUGGUGCCUAAAGAAAAUGAGAAUGGCCAGUGAAGCUGUAGUAUGGAGGGGAGGUGAAUCGGAGAGGUAAGCCAUGCCCAAUCAUAUAGAACAUAGCAUUGGGAAUUAUUCUAAGGGCAGUGAGAAGCUUUUUGUACGUUUUAAGCAGUAUGUGUGUGUGUGUGUGAGACACACAGAGAGAGAAUAUCCAUUUGUAAUAUCUGCUAUCCAAUAUCCAAAGGGUAAGUUAGGGAAUAUUUUAAAAAGUGGGAAAACUGGAAAGAAAUUAGAGUGGGGCAGACCUGUUGCAAUAAUAUAGGGCAGCAAUUGGUAAAUAUUAUUCCUGUUAUUAUAUUAUUAUAAUUAUGAAAUAUAUUCCUGUUAAGGGCCUGAUUGUAAGUAUUUCGGGAUUUGAGGGCUAAUAGUCUCUGUCUCCGCCAUUAAGCCUUGCUUAAAGCAGUCACAGGUUAUAUGGAAAUGCGAGGAUAGCUAUGUUCCAAUAAAGCUUUAUUUACCAAAAACAGUGGGCCAGUCUAAAUGGUACUAAAGCUGUGCCAACUGAUAGGCUUUGUGACUACAUGUAGAGACAACAAAAAAGACCUCAGAAGGUGAGAUUCAAAGCCUGGGAUAUAGAGACAAUGGUAUUUUUAUUGAGAACUAUAUGGAAGGCAGAAAGAGAAGCUGGCUUAAGGGGCAAAUAAUGCAUUUGCUUUUAGUUUCUAUACGGUUGAUACCACAUUUUCAAUUGUAUUUGGCCAGUGUGGAAACAUCCAGAAGCCUGGCAGUUGACAAUGAUAUUCAAGGCUCAUAGGAGCAAGGCUCAGCUGUGAGAAACCUGUGUGUGGAAUCCCUUCUCUCUCUACAGGCUGCAGUGAUUUAUCUGAUCUGGCCCACAAGACGGCUGUCCCUUCCCCUUUAAUGAGCACCCUCUGGAAUCUGCAGAUCCAGCUGAAAAAGGCUCUUUUCUCCAAAGGACUUUGAAAGUUUUAUUCUCUCUGCAGGAAUACAUUUGUGUUUGCCUGAGUGUGGUAAACCAUUGCAGAGGCCAGAAAAGUCAGAAAUGCCCUGGGCUCUCUGUAUGAAUACUGCCCGUGACUUGGAUGCCUUGUAAGCCAAGAAGUCUGUCUCCUUGAGUAGAUUUCCCAUUUGGGGAUCACCCUUAGUUUUAGCAUAUUUGCAUCUUAAGAUAUAUUGUCAUCCAUCACCCUGAUGCAUUUUGCAUUAACUUAUUAUUCAAAUCCUAGAAAAUGUAUUUGUUUAAUGAAAGAAGGAAAGUAUGCUUAAGAAAUAUCCUGAAGCUUAUAGAAGAGAGGAUGGGAAACAGGGCUUACUUUCCUUUGGAUGGCAGCAUGGCUCUUAGGGAAAAUUUCUGCGCUUUGGGAUUUUUAUGGGUGUAUUUGGAAAAUUGGGGGCAAUUGUCCUGUUCUCUUCACUUAGCCUUAGGAUUGCAGGUCUGGAGUUGAGUAGGAAAAGGCCAUGGUUUAGCUAAUAUCCAGGCCUCCUGUGCAUCUUGGGAUGGCAGUCUGGCACAGUAGACUUGGCCCAGAGCAUCCUUUUGCAAAUCUUGCCCCCUUUUCCCUCAAAAGUCUGUUCUUGGUGCUCCCUGUACCUGAUAUUUGUAUUGAGGUGGCUGACCACAACAGUUUCCCUAGUGGUCAUGUCUGAAUCAGAUCCUAUCGUCCCCUUCUUGCCCCCUUCUUUUGAGGGAAACUCCUCCUCUCCAUCCCACCCCUGGUCAUGUGGUCUAGAGGAGGACUUUCAUCAUUAUUCAUCUCCCAAGUGUCCUGGCUACUGAUGGAGCCGGAGAUGCCCUAUGAGCUCUCUUCCUUGUGAGUACUUAAAUGGGAGUUGCUCUCUCUGUUGAUAGAACCACGAGGAUGCAAGGUUGCAACUGUGGCACCAUGUCCACAGCUGGGUGACAGAGCCUGUCUGCAGACAGAGAGGAUAAGGAGCACCCUGGGGGAAACAGCAAAAAAGUGGGGCAGGGAAAACCCAGAUGACAUGCAAGUCUGUUUUCCUCUGAGAGCCUCCGUGUAGCCCUCCCUGUCCUGCUCAGAGCUUGGGAGAUAAGCUCUCUCUGAUUCACUGAGCUACUUCAGAAUCCUACUAACAAAUUCCCUCAGUGGCUUAAGCUACUCAGUGUUGAGGUUUUUUCACUGGUCAUUUUAUAAAGUUUUAGGGUGGGGACCAGGACAGAAUAUCAUAACAGAAUGUUCUGAAAUCAUUUCAUAGAAACAGCAGUCUGUUUUGCUGGCUCUGAGCAAAACAGGAGUGAAGGCAUUACCUUCAUCUAAUCUCUAAGAAUUAGCCUUAGGACCUGCAGAUUUUUAGACAGGGGCUGACCCUGGGGUGUAGAUCAUUAGAACACUUGGGGUAAUCUUGUGAUGAGAAAAGAUUUUAUUGCCAUAACAAUAGCUAGAUAAGGAGGGAUAAAUGGCAGAAAAGAUCUGGGUUUUUCUCCCCAGAAAGGGCCUUUAGGUAUGGCUUUGUGCCAGGAGGGAGAGCUCAUUUGACUUACUUUGUUUCCCUUCAAGUGGCCCCAGCCCAUUCGUCCAUCUUUAUUGUCCAUUGCAGAGAUAUUCUGACUAAUAGAAUUUCUCUGAACUUGGCUUUUGAUUUCUGGCCUCUGUCUUCAAACUGAGUGCCCCUCCCUUCCUUGACUUUUCCACCUACUGAAAUCUCACAUAUACUUCAAGGCUUAUUGAAGAUGUCACCUCCUCCAAGAAGCCUACUUUUAUUGGCUUCAGUUAAGAUUUAUCUCUGCCUCUUUAAUAAUGAUAGAAAUUUCAUAGCUCCCUUAGUAUUUUGCAUCGAACACUUGAAAUAUGGCUGGUGCAAAUGAAGAACUGAACUUUUAUUUUCAUUUCAUUUAGUGACCACCAUAUUGGACAGCAUAGCUCUAGGAGCUUCUACAGUAAAAAAAAAUUUUUUUUUUUACUCUAACCUCUGCACCCAAGUUAAGGAUCCCUGGGUUCAGUAACCACAAUAGCUGAUGUUCCCAUCACCAAAUAAUGUUGCAUACAGAAGUUCAGUGCUGCACUGCCUGGUCGCAGUUGCUGGUCCCUUGCUUUGAAGAGGAGGUGAUAGAACCCUGCUCUUUCUUCUGCAACUCUUGGGGCAUAUGAUGCUACUUCCUUGGGCUCACCUUGGCUAACCUGCCCAUACUUGAACUCCAAAGCCAGAAGUUCUUUUAUUCAUGUUUCCAUAUAUGACCACCAUCCCAAACUACUGCAGUAAUCAAGAGUCAGGAUCAGAGCCAGUUCUGUUGUUCAUCACCUCAUGGACCCAGAAUCACCCCCUCUGUCUAGUUAUCCAUCAUUAGGAGUCAGAUGGCUUUUAAUUUUGAACCCUCAAAACCACAAGGAAUUUGCCUUUGGAUGCCUCUAAAAAUAGACCUUUAGGCAAAGGUUCAAAUGUAAGUAGUUUAUUUAGGAGGUGAUCCUAGCAAAUAUCAGUAAGGAAGUUAAGAAGUAAAGUAGGGAAGUGAAGGAAACUGGUAAAAAUUAAUGUAUCAGUUACCCUGAUGAGAGCUCUAGGAGGCAGUGUUGGCGAGCUCUAGGAGGCAGUAUGGCUUGCUUCAGAAUGAUCCUAGAUGAGAAACAAAUAAGAUGGUAUAUAUAUAUAUAUAUAUACCAAAUUCCCAUCCAUUAUUUGUUGAUGGCUUCUCCUGGAGACAUUAACUCUUCAACACUCUUGCUUGCUCUAAGGAUGGCCAAGUAUGCUCUCACUGCCAGAGGAAAGCCCUUAAGCAGAGUUACAUGAAGUCAGUGGUGUGUAGAGAUAAGUGGGAGAAUGAUGAUGUCUGCUCCAGCUUGCUGGCCAAUGGACCAGUCAUACUUCUUUUUAUAAUAUUGGCAGCCUUAACUGGUUAUAGGGUGCUCCAUACCUCCCCUCUAGGGACAGAGGCCCCAGAAGUAGAUAUAGAAUCUCACAAGAGAUGUAGAAUCUGUUACAACUGUAAAAUAUGGAGCCGGGGAUGUGUCUCUGGUAAGCUACCCCAUUUCAACUUGGUUUGUCUGUUUAGUAAUAUAUUGACCAUCCAACAUGCCAAAAAUAUCAAAUAAAACUUUUAUGUGGUCUGAAAAGCACAACAAAAAUUAAAUUGAUACUACCUCUAUGGGUUCUAAAAGCAGCUUUGCAUGAAAGAAAGGGGUUUAGAAUUUGAAAAUAUCUUAAAAUUUCAGAUUUUAAAAGUACACAUUUUCAUAAGCUCUUGAUUUCUUCAGUUUCAGCAGGAAUGGGGAUUUUAUGUUGGCAGAAGGUGAAGAAGAUAUAUGAGGUCCCAUAUGCACGAAGUGGCAAAACAGUUUUUGAAAGGUAAGAGAAUUGAGCAAUGGAACCUGUUCUUAUAUAUAGGCAGGGAGAAUUUAGUGAUGUGGGAGCCAGUCUAAAAAUGAACUCAGUGUUCCUUCAUGGUAAAAGCAUUUGGCUUGGUUUAAAAUGGAUCACUUUAGGAGUUCCCAUUGUGGCCAAGCAGGUUAAGAACCCAACAUAGUGUCCUUGAGGAUGUGGGUUCAAUCUCUGGCCUCGCUCAGUGGGUUAAGGAUCCUGUGUUGCUGCAAGCUGUGGUGUGGGUUGCAGAUAUGGCUCAAAUCUGGCAUUGCUGUGGCUGUAGUGUAAGCUGGCAGUUGCAGCUCUGAUUCGACACCUAGCCUGGGAACUUCCAUGUGCCACAGGCGUGGC
rnacentral:lncRNA from 1 species